CCCUACGGGGGAAAAAUUUAUUGCUAUUAGAUGAGCCUAUAUUAGAUUAGCUAGUUGGUGGAGUAAUAGCCUACCAAGGCAAUGAUCUAUAGCUGAUCUGAGAGGAUGAUCAGCCACACUGGAACUGAGAUACGGUCCAGACUCCUACGGGAGGCAGCAGUGGGGAAUAUUGGACAAUGGGCGAAAGCCUGAUCCAGCCAUGCCGCAUGAGUGAAGAAGGCCUUUGGGUUGUAAAGCUCUUUUAGUGAGGAAGAUAAUGACGGUACUCACAGAAGAAGUCCUGCUAACUCCGUGCCAGCAGCCGCGGUAAUACGGGGAGGGCUAGCGUUAUUCGGAAUUAUUGGGCGUAAAGGGCGCGUAGGCGGAUUAGUAAGUUAAAAGUGAAAUCCCAAGGCUCAACCUUGGAAUUGCUUUUAAAACUGCUAAUCUAGAGAUUGAAAGAGGAUAGAGGAAUUCCUAGUGUAGAGGUGAAAUUCGUAAAUAUUAGGAGGAACACCAGUGGCGAAGGCGUCUAUCUGGUUCAAAUCUGACGCUGAGGCGCGAAGGCGUGGGGAGCAAACAGGAUUAGAUACCCUGGUAGUCCACGCUGUAAACGAUGAAUGUUAAAUAUGGGAAGUUUUACUCUCUGUAUUACAGCUGACGCGUUAAACAUUCCGCCUGGGGACUACGGUCGCAAGAUUAAAACUCAAAGGAAUUGACGGGGACCCGCACAAGCGGUGGAGCAUGUGGUUUAAUUCGAUGCAACGCGAAAAACCUUACCACUCCUUGACAUGGAAAUUAUACCUAUUCGAAGGGAUAGG
rnacentral:rRNA from 1 species